AUUAUUACCGCGGCUGCUGGUGCCUAAUACAUGCAAGUAGAACGCUGAAGAGAGGAGCUUGCUCUUCUUGGAUGAGUUGCGAACGGGUGAGUAACGCGUAGGUAACCUGCCUUGUAGCGGGGGAUAACUAUUGGAAACGAUAUUUAAUACCGCAUAACAAUGGAUGACACAUGUCAUUUAUUUGAAAGGGGCAAUUGCUCCACUACAAGAUGGACCUGCGUUGUAUUAGCUAGUAGGUGAGGUAAUGGCUCACCUAGGCGACGAUACAUAGCCGACCUGAGAGGGUGAUCGGCCACACUGGGACUGAGACACGGCCCAGACUCCUACGGGAGGCAGCAGUAGGGAAUCUUCGGCAAUGGGCAUCAACCCUGACCGAGCAACGCCGCGUGAGUGAAGAAGGUUUUCGGAUCGUAAAGCUCUGUUGUAAGUCAAGAACGGGUGUGAGAUUUGGAAAGUUCACACUGUGACGGUAGCUUACCAGAAAGGGACGGCUAACUACGUGCCAGCAGCCGCGGUAAUAAU
rnacentral:rRNA from 1 species